UAGUCCACGCCGUAAACGAUGUCUGCUAGCCGUCGGGGCACUUGGUGCUUCGGUGGCGCCGCUAACGCAUUAAGCAGACCGCCUGGGGAGUACGGUCGCAAGAUUAAAACUUAAAGGAAUUGACGGGGGCCCGCACAAGCAGUGGAGCAUGUGGUUUAAUUCGAAGCAACGCGCAGAACCUUACCAGCCCUUGACAUCCCGUGCUACAUCCAGAGAUGGAUGGUUCCCUUCGGGGACACGGUGACAGGUGCUGCAUGGCUGUCGUCAGCUCGUGUCGUGAGAUGUUGGGUUAAGUCCCGCAACGAGCGCAACCCUUAUUUUAGUUGCCUUUUGGAACUCUAAAAAGACUGCCGGUUAUAAACCGGAGGAAGGUGGGGAUGGCGUCAAGUCCUCAUGGCCCUUAUGUUCAGGGCUACACACGUAAUACAAUGGUGCAACCAAAGGGAAGCGAACUCGCAAGGGGGAGCAAAUCUCAAAAAUUGCAUCUCAGUCCGGAUUGAAGUCUGCAA
rnacentral:rRNA from 1 species